AAUGAACGCUGGCGGCAUGCUUUAUACAUGCAAGUCGAGCGGCCGGACGAGGUGCUUGCUGCUCUCACGUUGGCGACGGACGGGUGAGUAACAGGUACAUACCCUGCCUAUAAGACUGGGUUGACUUCGGGAGACCGGAUCUAAUACCCGAUAAUAUAUUGAACGGCGUGGUUCAUUAGUCACCGCCCGUUUUGCUGUCACUUUUACAUGGUUCCAUGCCGCAUUAGCUAGUUGGUAAGGUAACGGCUUACCAAGGCUACGAUGCGUAGCCGACCUGAGAGGGCGAUCAGCCACACUGGAACUGAGACACGGUCCAGACUCCUACGGGAGGCAGCAGUGGGGAAUCUUGCGCAAUGGGCGAAAGCCUGACCGAGCAAUGCCGCGUGUGUGAUGAAGGCCUUCGGAUCGUAAAACUCUUUUAUUGGGGAAGAACAAAAGUGUAAGAAUCUAUGGGUUUCAUGACGGUACCCGAAGAGUAAGCCCCGGCUAACUACGUG
rnacentral:rRNA from 1 species